AUGCCCAUUUCAGCAACACAUAUACUAACAUUGGAAUGAUGUAGAGAUUAGCACGGCCGCUACUCAAGGAUGACAUGCAAAUUCAUGAAGUAAUCCAUAUAUUU
rnacentral:snRNA from 1 species